UACCUCACAGUCUCCUACGAGGCGGCGC
rnacentral:piRNA from 1 species